rnacentral:lncRNA from 1 species
AUAAAGUUGAAUUCUUUGAUUCACUGCUUUAUGUCAUGCCCGCUAACAAAUUGAAAACGGUUCCUAUAUACACCUUAUUUUUAGUCCAGAUUUUUAGUAUUCGUAUUGUUAUCUUAGAAAGUCUUACUGAUUAAAAUACUACAAUAGGUAACAAUUUGACAAUGAUUGAAUUUAGUAGUGUCAACCCUGUGAUUAUGAUCCGUGUAUAUAGCAUAAUCCUAAAUA